AUUGAACGCUGGCGGCAGGCUUAACACAUGCAAGUCGAGCGGUGAUGAGGUGCUUGCACCUUAUCUUAGCGGCGGACGGGUGAGUAAUGCUUAGGAAUCUGCCUAUUAGUGGGGGACAACAUUCCGAAAGGAAUGCUAAUACCGCAUACGCCCUACGGGGGAAAGCAAGGGAUCUUCGGACCUUGCGCUAAUAGAUGAGCCUAAGUCGGAUUAGCUAGUUGGUGGGGUAAAGGCCUACCAAGGCGACGAUCUGUAGCGGGUCUGAGAGGAUGAUCCGCCACACUGGGACUGAGACACGGCCCAGACUCCUACGGGAGGCAGCAGUGGGGAAUAUUGGACAAUGGGCGGAAGCCUGAUCCAGCCAUGCCGCGUGUGUGAAGAAGGCCUUUUGGUUGUAAAGCACUUUAAGCGAGGAGGGGGCUACCUGGAUUAAUACUCUAGGAUAGUGGACGUUACUCGCAGAAUAAGCACCGGCUAACCCUGUGCCAGCCGCCGCGGUAAUAC
rnacentral:rRNA from 1 species